rnacentral:rRNA from 1 species
AGGAUUAAUGCUGGCGGCGUGCCUAAUACAUGCAAGUCGAACGGGUUUAGACCCGUGGCGAACGGGUGAGUAACGUGUAGGAAGUUGCUCCGAAGUCGGGUAUAACCAGCCGAAAGGCUGAAUAACACCCGAUAUGCCGAAAGGUGAAAGUUUACGCUUCGGAAGACGCCUGCGUCCUAUCAGUUAGUUGGUGAGGUAACGGCUCACCAAGACGAUGACGGGUAGCUGGUCUGAGAGGAUGAUCAGCCACAGUGGGACUGAGACACGGCCCACACUCCUACGGGAGGCAGCAGUAGGGAAUUGUCGGCAAUGGGCGAAAGCCUGACCGCGCGACGCCGCGUGGAGGAAGAAGGCCUUCGGGUUGUAAACUUCUUUAUGGGGGACGAUUAUGACGGUACCUCAAGAAUAAGGGCCUGCUAACUACGUGCCAGCAGCCGC